rnacentral:tRNA from 14 species
GCUCGGAUAGCUCAGUCGGUAGAGCAGGGGAUUGAAAAUCCCCGUGUCCUUGGUUCGAUUCCGAGUCCGGGCACCA